GGAAUUUUGGGCAAUGGGCGAAAGCCUGACCCAGCAACGCCGCGUGAAGGAUGAAGUCCUUCGGGAUGUAAACUUCGUAAGAAUGGGAGGAAUAAAUGACGGUACCAUUUGUAAGGUCCGGCUAACUACGUGCCAGCAGCCGCGGGAAUACGUAGGGACCAAGCGUUGAUCGGAUUUACUGGGCGUAAAGGGAGCGUAGGCGGCGCGUCAAGUCAGCUGUGAAAUCUUAAGGCUUAACCUUAAGCGGUCAGCUGAUACUGUCGUGCUAGAGUACAGAAGGGGCAAUCGGAAUUCUUGGUGUAGCGGUGAAAUGCGUAGAUAUCAAGAGGAACACCUGAGGUGAAGACGGGUUGCUGGGCUGAUACUGACGCUGAGGCUCGAAAGCCAGGGGAGCAAAC
rnacentral:rRNA from 1 species